rnacentral:rRNA from 1 species
UUUUAGUGGCGGACGGGUGAGUAACGCGUGGGUAACCUGCCUCACGACUGGGGAUAACACUUAGAAAUAGGUGCUAAUACCGCAUAAGCGCACGGGACUGCAUGGUCUUGUGUGAAAAACUCCGGUGGUGUGAGAUGGACCCGCGUCUGAUUAGCUGGUUGGCGGGGUAACGGCCCACCAAGGCGACGAUCAGUAGCCGGCCUGAGAGGGUGGACGGCCACAUUGGGACUGAGACACGGCCCAAACUCCUACGGAAGGCAGCAG